rnacentral:rRNA from 1 species
CCUACGGGUGGCAGCAGUGAGGAAUAUUGGUCAAUGGACGAGAGUCUGAACCAGCCAAGUAGCGUGAAGGAUGACUGCCCUAUGGGUUGUAAACUUCUUUUAUAUGGGAAUAAAAUGUUCUACGUGUGGGAUUUUGUACGUACCAUAUGAAUAAGGAUCGGCUAACUCCGUGCCAGCAGCCGCGGUAAUACGGAGGAUCCGAGCGUUAUCCGGAUUUAUUGGGUUUAAAGGGAGCGUAGGUGGAUUGUUAAGUCAGUGGUAAAAUUGAGAGGCUCAACCUCUUCGAGCCGUUGAAACUGGUUUACUUGAGUGAGUGAGAGGUAUGCGGAAUGCGUGGUGUAGCGGUGAAAUGCAUAGAUAUCACGCAGAACUCCGAUUGCGAAGGCAGCAUACCGGCGCUCAACUGACGCUCAUGCACGAAAGUGUGGGUAUCGAACAGGAUUAGAUACCCGGGUAGUC